rnacentral:rRNA from 1 species
GAUCCAGAGAUUUCCGAAUGGGGAAACCCAGCAUGAGUUAUGUCAUGUUAUCGAUAUGUGAAUACAUAGCAUAUCAGAAGGCACACCCGGAGAACUGAAACAUCUUAGUACCCGGAGGAAGAGAAAGAAAAUUCGAUUCCCUUAGUAGCGGCGAGCGAAAUGGGAAGAGCCCAAACCAACAAGCUUGCUUGUUGGGGUUGUAGGACACUCUAUACGGAGUUACAAAGGACGACAUUAGACGAAUCAUCUGGAAAGAUGAAUCAAAGAAGGUAAUAAUCCUGUAGUCGAAAAUGUUGUCUCUCUUGAGUGGAUCCUGAGUACGACGGAGCACGUGAAAUUCCGUCGGAAUCUGGGAGGACCAUCUCCUAAGGCUAAAUACUCUCUAGUGACCGAUAGUGAACCAGUACCGUGAGGGAAAGGUGAAAAGCACCCCGGAAGGGGAGUGAAAUAGAACCUGAAACCGUGUGCUUACAAGUAGUCAGAGCCCGUUAAUGGGUGAUGGCGUGCCUUUUGUAGAAUGAACCGGCGAGUUACGAUUUGAUGCAAGGUUAAGCAGUAAAUGUGGAGCCGUAGCGAAAGCGAGUCUGAAUAGGGCGUUUAGUAUUUGGUCGUAGACCCGAAACCAGGUGAUCUACCCUUGGUCAGGUUGAAGUUCAGGUAACACUGAAUGGAGGACCGAACCGACUUACGUUGAAAAGUGAGCGGAUGAACUGAGGGUAGCGGAGAAAUUCCAAUCGAACCUGGAGAUAGCUGGUUCUCUCCGAAAUAGCUUUAGGGCUAGCCUCAAGUGAUGAUUAUUGGAGGUAGAGCACUGUUUGGACGAGGGGCCCCUCUCGGGUUACCGAAUUCAGACAAACUCCGAAUGCCAAUUAAUUUAACUUGGGAGUCAGAACAUGGGUGAUAAGGUCCGUGUUCGAAAGGGAAACAGCCCAGACCACCAGCUAAGGUCCCAAAAUAUAUGUUAAGUGGAAAAGGAUGUGGCGUUGCCCAGACAACUAGGAUGUUGGCUUAGAAGCAGCCAUCAUUUAAAGAGUGCGUAAUAGCUCACUAGUCGAGUGACACUGCGCCGAAAAUGUACCGGGGCUAAACAUAUUACCGAAGCUGUGGAUUGUCCUUUGGACAAUGGUAGGAGAGCGUUCUAAGGGCGUUGAAGCAUGAUCGUAAGGACAUGUGGAGCGCUUAGAAGUGAGAAUGCCGGUGUGAGUAGCGAAAGACGGGUGAGAAUCCCGUCCACCGAUUGACUAAGGUUUCCAGAGGAAGGCUCGUCCGCUCUGGGUUAGUCGGGUCCUAAGCUGAGGCCGACAGGCGUAGGCGAUGGAUAACAGGUUGAUAUUCCUGUACCACCUAUAAUCGUUUUAAUCGAUGGGGGGACGCAGUAGGAUAGGCGAAGCGUGCGAUUGGAUUGCACGUCUAAGCAGUAAGGCUGAGUAUUAGGCAAAUCCGGUACUCGUUAAGGCUGAGCUGUGAUGGGGAGAAGACAUUGUGUCUUCGAGUCGUUGAUUUCACACUGCCGAGAAAAGCCUCUAGAUAGAAAAUAGGUGCCCGUACCGCAAACCGACACAGGUAGUCAAGAUGAGAAUUCUAAGGUGAGCGAGCGAACUCUCGUUAAGGAACUCGGCAAAAUGACCCCGUAACUUCGGGAGAAGGGGUGCUCUUUAGGGUUAACGCCCAGAAGAGCCGCAGUGAAUAGGCCCAAGCGACUGUUUAUCAAAAACACAGGUCUCUGCUAAACCGUAAGGUGAUGUAUAGGGGCUGACGCCUGCCCGGUGCUGGAAGGUUAAGAGGAGUGGUUAGCUUCUGCGAAGCUACGAAUCGAAGCCCCAGUAAACGGCGGCCGUAACUAUAACGGUCCUAAGGUAGCGAAAUUCCUUGUCGGGUAAGUUCCGACCCGCACGAAAGGCGUAACGAUUUGGGCACUGUCUCAACGAGAGACUCGGUGAAAUCAUAGUACCUGUGAAGAUGCAGGUUACCCGCGACAGGACGGAAAGACCCCGUGGAGCUUUACUGUAGCCUGAUAUUGAAAUUCGGCACAGCUUGUACAGGAUAGGUAGGAGCCUUUGAAACGUGAGCGCUAGCUUACGUGGAGGCGCUGGUGGGAUACUACCCUAGCUGUGUUGGCUUUCUAACCCGCACCACUUAUCGUGGUGGGAGACAGUGUCAGGCGGGCAGUUUGACUGGGGCGGUCGCCUCCUAAAAGGUAACGGAGGCGCUCAAAGGUUCCCUCAGAAUGGUUGGAAAUCAUUCAUAGAGUGUAAAGGCAUAAGGGAGCUUGACUGCGAGACCUACAAGUCGAGCAGGGUCGAAAGACGGACUUAGUGAUCCGGUGGUUCCGCAUGGAAGGGCCAUCGCUCAACGGAUAAAAGCUACCCCGGGGAUAACAGGCUUAUCUCCCCCAAGAGUUCACAUCGACGGGGAGGUUUGGCACCUCGAUGUCGGCUCAUCGCAUCCUGGGGCUGUAGUCGGUCCCAAGGGUUGGGCUGUUCGCCCAUUAAAGCGGUACGCGAGCUGGGUUCAGAACGUCGUGAGACAGUUCGGUCCCUAUCCGUCGUGGGCGUAGGAAAUUUGAGAGGAGCUGUCCUUAGUACGAGAGGACCGGGAUGGACAUACCUCUGGUGUACCAGUUGUCGU